UACGUAGGGUGCAAGCGUUGUCCAGAAUUAUUGGGCGUAAAGAGCUCGUAGGCGGUCUGUCGCGUCGGAUGUGAAAACCCAGGGCUCAACCCUGGGCCUGCAUUCGAUACGGGCAGACUAGAGUUCGGUAGGGGAGACUGGAAUUCCUGGUGUAGCGGUGAAAUGCGCAGAUAUCAGGAGGAACACCGGUGGCGAAGGCAGGUCUCUGGGCCACUACUGACGCUGAGAAGCGAAAGCAUGGGGAGCGAACAGG
rnacentral:rRNA from 1 species